GAUCACCUGGCCUGAUGUCUUUUCCCUCAGAACCCUGGUAUUUGAAGCAGCCCCAUGCAUGUGUCAUCUAAAAUUGUGAAUGCAGGCAAGUUGGAGAUGUUUUGCAAAAAUCCACCGCUUAGAAGACAAACUGCAACAUCACACUAGAUAAAGGUUGAUGCUGAUCCUCCAAUUCAGGAAUAGGACAAUAAGUGCCUUGUGCUCUUUCUUUCUUGCAGCAAUAGCUUAAAACAGUUCUCUUUUUAAUGGGUUGGAAAUUAUAACAUUUAUUCAAUGUAAAACCCAAACAACAAAAAAUAACCUGCAGAACUCUUUUCUCUAGAGGUCUGAACACAUAUUUCCCAUUAUUAUUUUUUCCAUCACAAUUAAUGAAAUAAGUUACUGUACAUAUUUCACUUUGUACAUACCUCAAAGACCUUUAAUAUUUAAUAUGUUAAAAAUAAAAGUUGCACUAUUAAAAAUAAAAUUAAAUACAAUAACUGUAAUCAGUAACCAGCUUUCUAUAUGCUUCUAUGGUUGUUAUUAUUGUUCUAGCCAGACAUGUGAACUUUGUACUUAUGUAAUGAUCUCAAACGGAUACUAAAUAACUGCUCUAUAAGGAAAGAGAGGAUUGCUUAUCUUAUUUUUUUAUCAUAUUAUUUUAUUUUAAAUCAAACUGCAUAUGCAUGUAUAUGACUUGUUAAUUUUCACAGCAAAUAAAAUUACUGUUUCGUCCUUCA